UUAAGCUUCUGUCCCCUGAGAACU
rnacentral:piRNA from 1 species